GUUUGUGCGUCAAAAACAGCUUCAUCUCAACUCGUCAGUGCUUUACGGAGACAAAAUAACAGUAUUCUAGGUCGGAAUGACCUGGAUGAGGGUCAUUAUCAGAGAUGUCAUCAAGCGUGAGAGCAUUGGCCUCCUCGGACUCCACCGAGCCGUUCUUCGUCAACUGAGAACCAUAUGAAAGGUGAUCUCGGAGCAUGUCUCUGUGGAUUCUCUCCUGCUCCAUGGCGAACUCUCCCAGUGUGUACUGCCGCACGCAGCUGUGUCUGCUGGACAUGCCCAGGGAACUGCCACCCUGACUGGGCACGCUGGUGAAUCCCUGCCUCCGGCUGAAGUAAUACACUGUCACCUUCUCAAAGUGCACCCUCCUCGUCCUCAUCCGCUUCUCCCGCUUCAGUAUCGAGGACGCUAGAAAGACAUUAAAGCGUUUGAUACGAGUCUCACCUGUCCGCUGCAGUGCGUGUGUUGAUGAUGAGGAUGAAGGGUUGACGCUGUCGCUGCUGUCUCCGCUCUCAGUGCUGGAUAUCUCCUCCUCCUCAGACUCCCUGAGUGAGGAGCAGGGCGACGCCCCCUCCACCUCCUCAAACUUCCUCUUCAGAAUUCCACUCAUGGCUGCCGUCAGGCUGCGCCAGAGAGAGAGUGCAAGUAAAAAUCACAUUCAUUUUUUGACAUUUCAAAGACAUAUUGUGUAAAUCCAGUGAUAAGUGCAUUCGAAUGAUACAUGAUUUAGUCAGUGUGAUUUCGACUACAUUUCCAGAAAAUGUUGUAUACUUACAAUACUGGAAAGAAAUCCAACCAAUCAAGUCACUGUUACUAUAACAUUACACACCCAUAUGUGACUUUAUACUUCCAUAAACCAUGCAAAUUAUGUAAUUAAGUCUCCCCAAAUAGUUGUAUCUUGACCAAAUAUUGUCCUAUAUAUA